rnacentral:rRNA from 1 species
GGUUAAGUGACUAAGCGUACACGGUGGAUGCCUAGGCAGUCAGAGGCGAUGAAGGGCGUGCUAAUCUGCGAAAAGCGUCGGUAAGGUGAUAUGAACCGUUAUAACCGGCGAUACCCGAAUGGGGAAACCCAGUGUGUUUCGACACACUAUCAUGUCAUGAAUACAUAGUGGCAUGAGGCGAACCGGGGGAACUGAAACAUCUAAGUACCCCGAGGAAAAGAAAUCAACCGAGAUUCCCCCAGUAGCGGCGAGCGAACGGGGAGGAGCCCAGAACCUGAAUCGGCUUGUGUGUUAGUGGAAGCGUCUGGAAAGUCGCGCAGUAAAGGGUGAUAGCCCCGUACACUAAAAUGCACAGGUCGUGAGUUCGAUGAGUAGGGCGGGACACGUGACAUCCUGUCUGAAUAUGGGGGGACCAUCCUCCAAGGCUAAAUACUCCUGACUGACCGAUAGUGAACCAGUACCGUGAGGGAAAGGCGAAAAGAACCCCGGCGAGGGGAGUGAAAUAGAACCUGAAACCGUGUACGUACAAGCAGUGGGAGCACCUUCGUGGUGUGACUGCGUACCUUUUGUAUAAUGGGUCAGCGACUUAUAUUUUGUAGCAAGGUUAACCGUAUAGGGGAGCCGUAGGGAAACCGAGUCUUAACUGGGCGAAUAGUUGCAAGGUAUAGACCCGAAACCCGGUGAUCUAGCCAUGGGCAGGUUGAAGGUUGGGUAACACUAACUGGAGGACCGAACCGACUAAUGUUGAAAAAUUAGCGGAUGACUUGUGGCUGGGGGUGAAAGGCCAAUCAAACCGGGAGAUAGCUGGUUCUCCCCGAAAGCUAUUUAGGUAGCGCCUCGUGAACUCAUCUUCGGGGGUAGAGCACUGUUUCGGCUAGGGGGCCAUCCCGGCUUACCAAACCGAUGCAAACUCCGAAUACCGAAGAAUGUUAUCACGGGAGACACACGGCGGGUGCUAACGUCCGUCGUGAAGAGGGAAACAACCCAGACCGCCAGCUAAGGUCCCAAAGUCAUGGUUAAGUGGGAAACGAUGUGGGAAGGCAUAGACAGCCAGGAUGUUGGCUUAGAAGCAGCCAUCAUUUAAAGAAAGCGUAAUAGCUCACUGGUCGAGUCGGCCUGCGCGGAAGAUGUAACGGGGCUAAACCAUGCACCGAAGCUGCGGCAGCGACGCUUAGGCGUUGUUGGGUAGGGGAGCGUUCUGUAAGCCGUUGAAGGUGGCCUGUGAGGGUUGCUGGAGGUAUCAGAAGUGCGAAUGCUGACAUAAGUAACGAUAAAGCGGGUGAAAAGCCCGCUCGCCGGAAGACCAAGGGUUCCUGUCCAACGUUAAUCGGGGCAGGGUGAGUCGACCCCUAAGGCGAGGCUGAAAAGCGUAGUCGAUGGGAAACAGGUUAAUAUUCCUGUACUUGGUGUUACUGCGAAGGGGGGACGGAGAAGGCUAGGCUGGCCGGGCGACGGUUGUCCCGGUUUAAGCGUGUAGGGGGUGUGACCUGGUAAAUCCGGUUGCAUAUCAACCCUGAGGCGUGAUGACGAUGCACUACGGUGCAGAAGUAGUUGAUGCCCUGCUUCCAGGAAAAUCCUCUAAGCUCCAGGUAACAUUAAAUCGUACCCCAAACCGACACAGGUGGUCAGGUAGAGAAUACCAAGGCGCUUGAGAGAACUCGGGUGAAGGAACUAGGCAAAAUGGUGCCGUAACUUCGGGAGAAGGCACGCUGGCAUGUAGGUGAAGUCCCUUGCGGAUGGAGCUGAAGCCAGUCGAAGAUACCAGCUGGCUGCAACUGUUUAAUAAAAACACAGCACUGUGCAAACACGAAAGUGGACGUAUACGGUGUGACGCCUGCCCGGUGCUGGAAGGUUAAUUGAUGGGGUCAGCCGCAAGGCGAAGCUCUUGAUCGAAGCCCCAGUAAACGGCGGCCGUAACUAUAACGGUCCUAAGGUAGCGAAAUUCCUUGUCGGGUAAGUUCCGACCUGCACGAAUGGCGUAAUGAUGGCCAGGCUGUCUCCACCCGAGACUCAGUGAAAUUGAACUCGCUGUGAAGAUGCAGUGUACCCGCGGCAAGACGGAAAGACCCCGUGAACCUUUACUAUAGCUUGACACUGAACAUUGAGCCUUGAUGUGUAGGAUAGGUGGGAGGCUUUGAAGCGUGGACGCCAGUCUGCGUGGAGCCAUCCUUGAAAUACCACCCUUUAAUGUUUGAUGUUCUAACUCGGCCCCAUAAUCUGGGGUGAGGACAGUGUCUGGUGGGUAGUUUGACUGGGGCGGUCUCCUCCCAAAGAGUAACGGAGGAGCACGAAGGUUAGCUAAUCACGGUCGGACAUCGUGAGGUUAGUGCAAAGGCAUAAGCUAGCUUGACUGCGAGAGUGACGGCUCGAGCAGGUACGAAAGUAGGUCUUAGUGAUCCGGUGGUUCUGAAUGGAAGGGCCAUCGCUCAACGGAUAAAAGGUACUCCGGGGAUAACAGGCUGAUACCGCCCAAGAGUUCAUAUCGACGGCGGUGUUUGGCACCUCGAUGUCGGCUCAUCACAUCCUGGGGCUGAAGUAGGUCCCAAGGGUAUGGCUGUUCGCCAUUUAAAGUGGUACGCGAGCUGGGUUUAGAACGUCGUGAGACAGUUCGGUCCCUAUCUGCCGUGGGCGUUGGAAGAUUGAGAGGGGUUGCUCCUAGUACGAGAGGACCGGAGUGAACGCACCACUGGUGUUCGGGUUGUCAUGCCAAUGGCAUUGCCCGGUAGCUAAGUGCGGAAAAGAUAAGCGCUGAAAGCAUCUAAGCGCGAAACUUGCCUCAAGAUGAGUCUUCCCUGGGCCUU